rnacentral:rRNA from 1 species
UUUUACGGAGAGUUUGAUCCUGGCUCAGGAUGAACGCUGGCGGCGUGCUUAACACAUGCAAGUCGAACGAUGAAGCCCAGCUUGCUGGGUGGAUUAGUGGCGAACGGGUGAGUAACACGUGAGUAACCUGCCCUUAACUCUGGGAUAAGCCUGGGAA